rnacentral:rRNA from 1 species
CCCUAUCCCCUGUCGUUGCCUUCGCCUCCCACGUACGUAGUUAGGUAGUUAACGGGACGUUACCAAAGGCAAUGAUGCACUAGUCCGAGUUGGAGACGGGUGACCGGCCACGACUGGGACUGAGACCAGGCCCAGACGUCCUACGGAGGCAGCGAGUGGGUAAUAUUGACACGAAUAGGCGAGCCUGAUGCAGCAACGCCGCGGUGAGGGAGUCGUACGGUCCUUACCGGUUGUUAAACCUCUUUUAGCGAGGAAGAAGACGAAGUGACGGUACCUGCAGAAAAGCACCGGCUAACUACGUGCCAGCAGCAGUCGACGCGGCCG